UUUCGUAAAAAAAAUCUAAAAAAUAGAAAUGAAGACUAUUUUGUAUCCAUAGUAGUUCCCAAGACUGUCUGCUAACAAAGUGGAUUUGGAAAUUACGUAAGUAGAUGAUUGAGCCAUCAUCGGGCAGUCAUCGAUAAGUGUAUAAGGACCAACAACGAGCUAUAUACAGGACAAGAGAAGGAGGAGUAGGAGGAGUUAGUCUUCUUUGAAGAUCGAGAAAAGUGUUAAGUGUAAGUGAUGGAAGCAAUUUUUACCUACAUUCCCGUUGCGUUAUCCCAAUUUCCUGUAGACCGGGAGUUUCUCCAAUAUUUCUUAAUACAGCCAGGGUAGGACCUUGAAUGGCUUUGUUUUGUAAUAGAAGGGUUAAUCUCUUGUCCUGCCAGCCAAAGGGAGGUGUUCCUGCACUCCAUUUUAGAAAUAGAAUACUGCUCAUAGCUACAAAAUUUAAUAAUAGAGCAGUACCAGUGUCUAUUCUAUCAUAAUGCACCUUUUAUUGUUUAUGUACCGCUGCGAGAUGUCGAUUUGGUUAUACGGUCAUGAUUUGAACUAUGGGGGGUAGAGUUUAACCAACCCCGUCUCUUAGAGAUACUUAUGUCGCUUUACGCCGACAGGGCGCAAUCUCGAUUCUAUUGGGACGUUCUCCAGUCCAACGGGUUUAAGAUCGUUUCGGAACGACAACAAAUCGAGUUGGCUCCCCGACUGGAGGGGUUGGCCCAAUUCCAAGAGUGCGUCAGGCUGGAAAACCAAAUGGCGGAACUUGAGGCAUAGAAUGCUCUUCUUCGCCACCAAAUAGCAAACCUAGGACUUACGUAUUUUUAGUUUCUGGUAACAGAAGAGCUAAUCCAAUACCAAGAUGACUAGAAAUAUCACUUCUAUACUAAGGGAAUAUUACAUAUUCUCAACGAGAAGAGAGCCCCCAUCCAGUGAGGGGUGAGAGCAAGGUAGCUUACUGCAUUCUUCGGAUUUGAUACCUAAGGACAAGCUUAGUUAGGAGUUCACGUUCUUCAUUGCUUUGGUCUGACUUCGAAAGAGUUCAAUUUCUUUCGCACUCAUGUGAACAAGGUCAAACUUCUAAUUUCGCUCGAAAGAGUUUUACUAAUUGAACUAGCUACCACCCAUAUAUUAGUUUUACAUUAUUUAAUAUAUUAAGAUCAUCUUUAGGAUUGGGGUUGGACAGUUACAUAUUAAAAUACAGUACUAAAGAGUUUAGUAAACACUAAUUGAUGUAGUUUAGAAAUUAAGUUGAUUUGAUUUUAUACUUGUAUGAUGAAAAAUCUACUAUAUCUUUACUAUUU
rnacentral:lncRNA from 1 species